rnacentral:rRNA from 1 species
AUUGAACGCUGGCGGCAGGCCUAACACAUGCAAGUCGAGCGGAAACGAUCCUAGCUUGCUAGGAGGCGUCGAGCGGCGGACGGGUGAGUAACGCGUGAGAAUCUACCCAUGAGUGGGGGACAACCCGGGGAAACUCGGGCUAAUACCGCAUACGCCCUACGGGGUAAAGCAGGGGACCUUCGGGCCUUGCGCUGAUGGAUGAGCUCGCGUCGGAUUAGCUUGUUGGUGUGGUAAAGGCUCACCAAGGCGACGAUCCGUAGCUGGUCUGAGAGGAUGAUCAGCCACACCGGGACUGAGACACGGCCCGGACUCCUACGGGAGGCAGCAGUGGGGAAUCUUGGACAAUGGGGGCAACCCUGAUCCAGCCAUGCCGCGUGUGUGAAGAAGGCCUUCGGGUUGUAAAGCACUUUCAGCAGGGAGGAAGGCUUACCCCUAAUACGGGUGAGUACUUGACGUUACCUGCAGAAGAAGCACCGGCUAAUUUCGUG